rnacentral:rRNA from 1 species
UACGUAGGGUCCGAGCGUUGUCCGGAAUUAUUGGGCGUAAAGAGCUCGUAGGCGGUUUGUCGCGUCUGCUGUGAAAUCCCGAGGCUCAACCUCGGGUCUGCAGUGGGUACGGGCAGACUGGAGUGCGGAAGAGGCGAGUGGAAUUCCUGGUGUAGCGGUGAAAUGCGCAGAUAUCAGGAGGAACACCGAUGGCGAAGGCAGCUCGCUGGGACGAUACUGACGCUGGAGGCGACGAAAGCGUGGGGGAGCAAACAGG